rnacentral:rRNA from 1 species
CACGUAGGGUGCGAGCGUUGUCCGGAUUUAUUGGGCGUAAAGAGCUCGUAGGCGGUUCGGUAAGUCGGGUGUGAAAAACUUUGGGCUCAACCCAAAGCCUGCACUCGAUACUGCUGUGACUUGAGUCCGGUAGGGGGAGUGGGGGAAUUCCUGGUGUAGCGGUGGAAUGCGCAGAUAUCAGGAGGAACACCGGUGGCGAAGGCGCCACUCUGGCGAGC